AUUGAACGCUGGCGGCAUGCCUUACACAUGCAAGUCGAACGGUAACGCGGGGCAACCUGGCGACGAGUGGCGAACGGGUGAGUAAUGCAUCGGAACGUGCCCAGUAGUGGGGGAUAGCUCGACGAAAGUCGAAUUAAUACCGCAUACGACCUAAGGGUGAAAGGGGGGGAGUCGCAAGACCUCUCGCUAUUGGAGCGGCCGAUGUCAGAUUAGGUAGUUGGUAGGGUAAAAGACCUACCAAGCCUAUGAUCUGUAGCUGGUCUGAGAGGACGACCAGCCACACUGGGACUGAGACACGGCCCAGACUCCUACGGGAGGCAGCAGUGGGGAAUUUUGGACAAUGGGCGCAAGCCUGAUCCAGCCAUGCCGCGUGCGGGAAGAAGGCCUCGGUUGUAACGACUUUGUCAGGAGAAAGACG
rnacentral:rRNA from 1 species